CGUGGGCGUUGGAAGUUUGAGUGGACCUGCUCCUAGUACGAGAGGACCGGAGUGGACGCACCUCUGGUGUACCGGUUAUGACGCCAGUCGUAUCGCCGGGUAGCUAAGUGCGGACGAGAUAACCGCUGAAAGCAUCUAAGCGGGAAACUUACCAUAAGAUGAGACUUCCCGGGGGUUAAACCCUCCUUAAGGUUCGUCGUAGACUAUGACGUUGAUAGGUCGGGUGUGGAAGCAUAGUAAUAUGUUAAGCUAACCGAUACUAAUUGACCGUGAGACUUGAUCCU
rnacentral:rRNA from 1 species